CCGGUCCCCGCCCCGGUCGCGGUCCCGGGGGAGGAGGAGGGUCGGUGGUCGCGACGUGUGUCGCUGCCGGCGCCGUGCGUGGCCGCCAGCGGGUGUCAGCCUGCCGGGAAGGGAGUUCUGAAGGCAAAGGGAAAGAUGUGCCGUCACUCAGAGCCCGCCGGUCUGACGCAAGUGACGUUUUAAAUCCGUCAUUCACAAAAUACAAGGGUACAUAAAAAUAAUUGCUUUUUAGAUCACUGAGGAAAAAGGUGGUUUAAACAACCAAGCUGCAAACACCUCUGAUUACAAGGAAAAAAAAUGAGAUACUCAAGGGCUUCAUCCAUGUAAGACAGCCUUCCUCUGUGUUUUGUCCAUACUUUCAGAAAAUUUUGAUGAUCAUAAUCAUCCCAGCCUCCUUGCCUCCCUCCUGUUCGCUGAAGAAAUCUUUCAAACUCUACUACUUCUUCAGAUUCCUGCAAAAGCAAACAGACUGGAGAAAGAAUAUUCCAAGUCUGCAGAAGAAUCACAAGCCCAACUGUGCAGGAAACCUGUCUAUAGAGGAAAAUGUUUUUAAAUCUGUUAUCACGACUUACAUUCUGGUGUAGGCUUCACAUCUUUUAAUUGUCGCUG